GGGUUGUCUUUAACCCCAUAAACCGACUCAAAUCUCCUUCCCCCACCCCCUUCCCAAAUCCCCCAAAAAAACCCCCUCAGGCAGCAAUUUCGGCGGCGGCGGCAGCUACAACGACUUCGGCAGUUACAACAACCAAUCGUCCAACUUCGGCCCCAUGAAGGGGGGCAAUUUCGGGGGCCGGAGCUCGGGGCCGUACGGCGGCGGUGAGUCCCCCCGCGGGCUCCGUGCUCCCCGGGCCGGGUGCACCCCGACGCCGCUCUCCCUGGAGCAUUUCCGACCACCCAGGUCCGCGGGGCUCCUCGGCGGGGGCCGGGCGCGCUCCCCCCACCCUCCAGAAGUGCAGAAACCCCCCCUAAUCCCCAUUUUUUUCCUUUUUUCCCAUUUUUUUUAAUAAAAACCACGCAGGCGGCUACGGCAGCUCGAGCGGCGGCGGCAGCUACGGCGGCGGGAGGAGGUUUUAACACCCGCAGGAAACAAAGCUUAGCAGGAGAGGAGAGCCAGAGGAGGGGCAGGGAGCUGCAGUUUCUGUGCCGUGGAAAGAAAAAAAAAAAUGAAAAAAAAAAAAAAAAAAACAGAAAACGGAGAAAAAAAAACACAAGAAAAAAACAAAAAAAAGCAUUCCUACGAGGGCUCUGCCCGGAGCCUCGGUUUUAUUUGCGCGCCCGUGCUGUCGAUCGCUGACUGUACCACAACCUGACGCUGAAUAAAUGUGUCUUGUUUUUUUUUUUAACUUCUGUC
rnacentral:lncRNA from 1 species